GCAACAGUUACGACGAGCUACAAUUAAAUCGAAAUAAAUAAGUAAACAUUACGUAAUAAAAUGCAAAUGCCUUAGAUCGAUGAGUUAAAACCAUAUUGUUCACUGACGUACAACUGUUAAUAGCACUUUUGAUUACUUCAAUCCCUGAAGAAAAAUCUUCAAUUAUAAACCAAAUUUUUUUCAAGUUGGUAACUUUUCAAUUAACCAACAGCCGUUUAUCAAUUGUACAAAAGGCUACUUAUACGGCCGGAAUCAUGUCAGCGGUUGGAGAACAUUUUUUGGCACCUUUGAAGUUCACGAAAAUCGCCUAAUUUGUUAUGGGCUACACUGGUAUGGCCCCUUUACUUAACAUGUUCUAUUGAUGAGUUUACAUUUAAUCAAAGUUAAAGUUACGUCAUCGAUGAAGCAGUAAUGUCGGAAACCACGAGCACUCUGUACUUUCAAAAAGAAAUAUAUUUAAAUAUAAA